rnacentral:rRNA from 1 species
AACGAACGCUGGCGGCAGGCUUAACACAUGCAAGUCGAACGCACCUUCGGGUGAGUGGCAGACGGGUGAGUAACGCGUGGGAACCUUCCCUAUGGUACGGAAUAGCUCCGGGAAACUGGAAUUAAUACCGUAUAAGCCCUUCGGGGGAAAGAUUUAUCGCCAUAGGAUGGGCCCGCGUCGGAUUAGCUAGUUGGUAGGGUAAUGGCCUACCAAGGCAACGAUCCGUAGCUGGUCUUAGAGGAUGAUCAGCCACACUGGGACUGAGACACGGCCCAGACUCCUACGGGAGGCAGCAGUGGGGAAUAUUGGACAAUGGGCGAAAGCCUGAUCCAGCCAUGCCGCGUGAGUGACGAAGGCCUUAGGGUUGUAAAACUCUUUUGGCGGGGACGAUAAUGACGGUACCCGCAGAAUAAGCCCCGGCUAACUUCGUGCCAGCAGCCGCGGUAAUACGAAGGGGGCUAGCGUUGUUCGGAAUCACUGGGCGUAAAGCGCACGUAGGCGGACUGGUCAGUUGGGGGUGAAACCCCAGGGCUCAACCCUGGAACUGCCUUCAAUACUGCCAGUCUUGAGUCCGAGAGAGGUGAGUGGAAUUCCUAGUGUAGAGGUGAAAUUCGUAGAUAUUAGGAAGAACACCAGUGGNGAAGGCGGCUCACUGGCUCGGUACUGACGCUGAGGUGC